rnacentral:rRNA from 1 species
AUGUGGUUUGCCCACAAGCAAGUGAUCCUCACCAAAAAUAAUUUACUAAAGCGAUGGUGGGUAGGCAGUUCACGAUGUUGUUUUUGUGAUCAUGAUGAAACAAUACAACACUUAUUCAUAGAUUGCUCUCUCGUGAAAUUACUUUGCAGAACGAUACAUAUAGCCUUUAACAUCACCCCUCCAGUUAGCAUUGAAUCGUUAUUUGGGACGUGGUUAGAUGGGGUUGAUCAUAUUACUGCGUCUCGUAUUUGGAUUGGAAUAUGUGCACUUGUUUGGGCUAUACAGAAUUGCAGGAACGAUAUGAUUUUUAAUAGACAACAUAAUUUAACAUUCUUGCAGGUCAUUUUUAGAGCUACAACAUGGAUCCGUACAUGGUCCUUACUCACUCCUACGGACUCCAUGGAACCAUUGGUUACUGGGUGCAACAAGUGA